rnacentral:miRNA from 1 species
AUAAAGCUAGGUUACCAGAGCU